ensembl:lncRNA
CUUAAGUGCAUAGUUAUUUAGUUAAAUGGAGGAUUUUUGUCGAGAAAAUGCAUGAUUUACCUUUAAAUGGGGGAUUUUCGAAGAGAAAAGUGGGUGAUUUUCGGGAUAAAUGGAAGAUGUUCGAAGAGAAAGUGCAUGAUUUACCCUUAAAUGGGGGAUUUUCGAGGAGAAAAUGGGUGAUUUUCGGGUUAAAUGCGGGAUUUUCGUCGAGAAAAUGGGUGAUUUUUGGGAUAAAUGGGGGAUGUUCGAAGAGAAAGUGCAUGAUUUACCAUUAAAUGUGGGAUUUUCGAGGAGAAAAUGUGUGAUUUUGGGGUUAAAUGGCGCAUUUCCGAAGAGAAAAUGUUUGAUUUUCGCUUACAUGCAUGAUUUUUUUGCUAAACGGAGGGUUUUUCGAGGAGGAAAUGCAUGAUUUAUCCUUCAACGGGGGACUUUGAGGAGAAAAUGCGUGAUUUAUCCUUUAAUGGGGAGUUUUUGAAGAGAAAAUGCGUGAUUUUCCAAAUAAUUGUGGAUUUUUAAAGAGAAAAUGGGUGAUUUUCGGAUUAAAUGGGGGAAUUUUGAAGAGAAAAUGGGUGAUUUUCUAGUUAAAUGGGGGAUUUUCGAAGAGAAAACAGGUGAUUUUCGCUUAAAUGCGUGAUUUUUUAGCUAAAUGUUGGAUAUUCAACGAGAAAAUGCAUGAUUUACCCUUAAAUGGGGGAUUUUUGAGGAGAAAAUGUGUGAUUUUGGGGUAAAAUGGGAAGUUUUCGAAGAGAAAAUGGGUGAUUUUCACUUAAAUGGGGGAUUUUCGAAGAGAAAAGGGGUGAUUUUCACUUAAAGGUGGGAUUUUCGAAGAGAAAAUGGGUGAUUUUUGCUUAAAUGGGGCAUUUUUGUCGGGAAAACGGGUGAUUUUCGAGUUAAAUCUGGGAUUUUUGAAGGGAAAAUGGGUGAUUUUCCCUUAAAUGGGGGGUUUUUGAGGAGAAAAUGCGUGAUUUUCCAAAUAAUUGGGGAUUUUUGAAGGGAAAAUGGGUGAUUUUCGAGUUAAAUCUGGGAUUUUUGAAGGGAAAAUGGGUGAUUUUUGGGUUAAAUGGUGGAUUUUUGAAGAGAAAACGGGUGAUUUCUGCUUAAAUGCGUGAUUUUUUAGCUAAAUGUUGGAUUUUCGAAGAGAAAAUGCAUGAUUUACCCUUCAAUGGGGGAUUUUCGAGGAGAAAAUGUGUGAUUUUGGGGUAAAAUGGGGGAUUUUCGAGGAGAAAAUGUGUGAUUUUGGGGUAAAAUGGGAAGUUUUCGAAGAGAAAAGGGGUGAUUUUCACUUAAAUGGGGGAUUUUUGAAGAGAAAAGGGGUGAUUUUCACUUAAAUGUGGGAUUUUCGAAGAGAAAAUGGGUGAUUUUUGCUUAAAUGGGGCAUUUUCGUCGGGAAAACGGGUGAUUUUCGAGUUAAAUCUGGGAUUUUUGAAGGGAAAAUGGGUGAUUUUCCCUUAAAUGGGGGGUUUUUGAGGAGAAAAUGCGUGAUUUUCCAAAUAAUUGGGGAUUUUUGAAGGGAAAAUGGGUGAUUUUCGAGUUAAAUCUGGGAUUUUUGAAGGGAAAAUGGGUGAUUUUUGGGUUAAAUGGGAGAUUUUUGAAGAGAAAACGGGUGAUUUUCGCUUAAAUGCGUGAUUUUUUAGCUAAAUGUUGGAUUUUCGAAGAGAAAAUGCAUGAUUUACCCUUAAAUGGGGGAUUUUCGAGGAGAAAAUGCGUGAUUUGGGGGUAAAAUGGGAAGUUUUCGAAGAGAAACGGGGUGAUUUUCACUUAAAUGGGGGGUUUUUGAAGAGAAAAGGGGUGAUUUUUGCUUAAAUGGGGCAUUUUCGGCGGGAAAAUGGGUGAUUUUCGAGUUAAAUCUGGGAUUUUUGAAGGGAAAAUGGGUGAUUUUCCCUUAAAUGGGGGGUUUUUGAGGAGAAAAUGUGUGAUUUUCCAAAUAAUUGGGGAUUUUUGAAGGGAAAAUGGGUGAUUUUCGAGUUAAAUCUGGGAUUUUUGAAGGGAAAAUGGGUGAUUGUCGGGUUAAAUGGGGGAUUUUCGAAGAGAAAACAGGUGAUUUUCGCUUAAAUGCGUGAUUUUUUAGCUAAAUGUUGGAUUUUUGAAGAGAAAAUGCAUGAUUUACCCUUAAAUGGGGGAUUUUCGAGGAGAAAAUGCGUGAUAUUUGCUUAAAUGGGGCAUUUUCGAAGAGAAAAUGCGUGAUUUUUGCUUAAAUGCAUGAUUUUUUUGUUAAAUGGGGGAUUUUUGAGGAGAAAAUGCAUGAUUUACCCUUAAAUGGGGGAUUUUCAAGGAGAAAAUGCGUGAUUUUCCAAAUAAUUGGAGAUUUUUGAAGGGAAAAUGGGUGAUUUUCGGAUUAAAUGGGGGAAUUUUGAAGAGAAAAUGGGUGAUUUUCGGGUUAAAUGGGGGAUUUUUGAAGAGAAAACGGGUGAUUUUUGCUUACAUGUCUGAUUUUUUAGCUAAAUGUUGGAUUUUCGAAGAGAAAAUGCAUGAUUUACCCUUAAAUGGGGGGAUUUUCGUGGAGAAAAUGGGUGAUUUUUGGGUUAAAUGGGGCAUUUUUGAAGAGAAAAUGGGUGAUUUUCGAGAUAAAUCAAGGAUUUUUGAAGAGAAAAUGCAUGAUUUACCCUUAAAUGUUGGAUUUUCAAGGUGAAAGUGCGUGAUUUUCAAAAUAAAUGAGUGAUUUUUGAAGGGAAAAUGGUUGAUUUUUGGGUUAAAUGGGGGAUUUUGAAGAGAAAAUGGGUGAUUUUCGGGUUAAAUGGGGGAUUUUCGAAGAGAAAGUGGGUGAUUAUCGAGAUAAAUCAAGGAUUUUUGAAAAGAACAUGCAUGAUUUACCCUUAAAUGGGGGAUUUUCUAGGAGAAAAUGCGUGAUUUUCAACAUAAAUGCACGAUUUUUGAAGGGAAAAUUGGCGAUUUUUGGUUUUAAUUGGGGAGUUUUGAAGAGAAAAAGGGCGAUUUUCAUUUAAAUGGGCGAUUUUCGAAGAGUAGAUUUGUGAUUUUCGUUUAAAUGGGGGAUUUUCAAAGGGAAAAUGCAUGAUUUACGGGUUAAAUUGGGGAUUUUUGAAGAGAUAAUUCGUGAUUUAAAUUUAAAUGGGGGAUUUCCGAAGAGAAAAUGCCAGAUUUUUGAGUUAAAUGGGGGGAUUUUCCAAGCGAAAAUUUGUGUUUUUCACGUUAAAUUGGGGAUUUUGGGAUUUAAAAUGUGUGAUUUUCGCUUUAAGUGGGUGAUUAAGUGGGUGAUAAGGAGAAAAAUGGUCAUUUUUGGGUUAAAUGGGGAAUUUUUGAAGAGAAAAUCGGCAAUUUUCGCUUAAAUAGGGGAUUUUCAAAGCGCAAAUGUGUGUCUUUCAGAAUAAAUUUGGGAUUUUCAAAUCAAAAAUGGAUGGUUUUCCCUUAAAUUUGGAUUUUCAAAGGGAAAAUGCAUGAUUUUCGGGUUAUAUGGGGGAUUUUCGAAGACAAAAUACGUGUUUUUC